UAGCCCUCAGUUUGGGUUUGUCUGAUUCGAUUAGUUCAGGUUGUAUAUUUUUGUUAGAAAUAACCACAGAAGUGGCCGGGCUCGGUGGCUCACGCCUGUAAUUCCAGCACUUUGGGAGGCCGAGGUGGCUUCUUAUUUAUUAGUUGGAAUAUUACUAUAAAUGAUGACAGCCGCAGGCCAUCUGGUGUGGCUGCUGCCACAUCCGUUCCACCUGGAAGACAGGGUGGUUCAGCUCAACCAAUGCUCUAUUUCCCUGGGAUGCGGGACCCUGCAUGUUUCAGGUGCCAAGGGGGAUCAACUGCUUGGCUAGACCAGUGCACAGGUUCCCUGGGAAUUGGAGUGCCACGUCAGCUCCGGUGCUGCUUUGGCUCAGGUGUCAGAGGUGUGACUGCUCUGCUUGGCCAAAGUCCUUAUUUCUCAGAAGGUGAAGUGCUGCAUUAGCUUAGACCCUGAGGAGUAGGACACAGAAACAACUGGGAUGCAGGGGAUGGAGUGGCUCCAUAGCAGCUUGACCCCAAGGGUAGGGCAUUGUAGCAUCACCUCAAGCCACAGAAGAUUAUUCCCAGGCUUUGAAUCCUAAUGGAAUUUGCCCUUCUGGAUUUCAAAAUGGCUUGGGACUGUUGAACCUUUUUCCUCCUCUUUUCUCCCUUUUGGAAUGGCAAUAUCUUUAACUGUUAUUCAAUGCUUAUU
rnacentral:lncRNA from 10 species